AAGGUUUAGCAUCUGUCCGCCCUGCCUCUGGUCUCCUGACCUGGGCUGGAGACUCAGCAAAGCCUCACUCUGCAAACUCAUCUUUGAAAUGAGGCCCGUUUAAGCCCUGCCCUGUGCCCUGCCAGGCUGCUGUGCGUGGCACGCACCAGGACCGACUGGUGUAUCUGUGGUGCGGGAAGCUGGACUUGCUAUUUUUACCACUCCAACUAGGCCUCUUUACUGGAAGUGUUUUCCAAAUGACUGUUGCACAGUGUUACAAAAUCACGCAUGGGUAAAAAUCCAGAGUGCAAGAUGGACCAGGGAUCAGAAUGUCAGAGGACAGAAGUCACUGGUGCGGGCCCGGGCCCCGCACUGCAGCUAAUUGUAAGGAGCUUCCGCUUGUCCAGUGUCGGCGUGGGAUCAGAGAGGAGCGUCCACAGCUAUAGGCUCUCGAGUCCCGCUCUUCCAGCUGCCUGUCCAUGUGAGGCUCGAUGGUCUUGUGUUCUUCAGUGAAAACCUAACAAUUCGGAUGCAGAAGCAGAUACGAGCAUCUAGUCACUGUUUGGAUUUUCUUUGGAAAACUGAUUUAUGAAAAACAACUGUUACUUACGCUAACAUAUAUAAUGGAUUUAUUAUUUUAAGUUAACUAGUAAUACAUUUCAGUUUUCUCUCAGUUUUAGUUUGGAAUAUGACAGAUAGUACCAGGCAAAACCAAGUAAAUGAAAGCCCCUUAGUGGCCUCACUCAUUUUUAAAUUGUAAAAAGGUCAUGAGGCCAAACUAUUUGAGAACAGCUGUGCUACGGGGAGCCCCUGCAGACUGGGAACAGGGCGUCAGGCCAUGAGCCCAGCUCUCUGCCUCUGUUUCCCCCUUGAUUUUCUCAGACGUCCUGUGAGGCGGGUGUGAGACCUUUUUCAUGCCCACUUUACAAAUGUGGAAACUGAGUGUUUGAAAUUCAGUCCAGGUCCCCUGGCAUGGAGGUAGCACUGCUGGUAAGGCAGGAGGUCCCAGACUAAUGCUCCUGUUCUCCGGGCAUGGAGAAAGACAGUCGCCGGGCCCUCUUCAAGACGAUACCAGUGGUGGGGAGACACACCUCUGCACACUUCUCCAGUCCCGAGGCCUUGGAAGGUGCAGGUUGCUGAACGGCAGCAGAGUGCUGGAGAAGUCAAGGGCUUUUCAUUUCAAAUAGCAUCUCCUGUUCAGGCACACACAGCGUUUCCGUCAGGAAGGUUCCUCGUCCUCCUAAAUGGCAUACAUUGUGCCAUUUGGCAAGGCACAGCUUUGAGUACUGAGGUUGUGUGCUCAUGUCUGACCUUCUCUGAGCCCCUGUUUGUCCAUCUGUGUACAGUGAUGACAGUGACACCUUGAGGAGGUUGUAAGGGCCGGACAUGUACAUAGUGUUUAGAACAGUGCCGCUGUAUCUGGCAGAGUUCAGGGUCCGAGGGGUGUGUGGUGAAGACAGCCUCUCUGAUCUCCUCCCCAGCGGUAGCUGCUGUCAGCCAGUUUCUUACAGUCCGUGCACAUACCAACAGGUGUGUGCAUGUUAGAUGUGUGUGUGUCAGCAGGUAGUCUGGGUUUUAACAUGUAAAAGAGCAUCCUAUUCAAGCACUUCUCAUUUUAGCACAGAAUACCAGUUGCUUAAUUUUGUCUUAUAUACCUGCGCCCUGCUCCACUCUGUGAAGGAAACGGGGUUCAUUUAACUGGGCCUCUUACUCAUGCACACUGAGGUUGUUUCCAGCCUUUUGCUUUUAGCACAGAUGCAGGUGCAGCUGAGGGCAAGGUCCCCAGGAGUGAAGGCUCUGGGGCAGAAGGCUCACGCAUUUGCCCUUUUGAAAGAUUGCCAGAUGGCUCUCCAGCCACCUGCCCCUGCCUUUGGUCCUCACUGGGGAGAGAAAGAGCUGUGUCUUGGGCUUUAGGAAUUGAGGAACGUUCUGAUUCUGGUUCAGCACCAAUGCUGACAGCCUGGUGAAGAAGGAAGCUUCUAGAGAACAGGGAGAAAGAAAUCCGAUACCAGUAAAUGGCUUUACUCUUGUGUGGUUUUUUUUUUUUUUUUCCUCCUGUUCUGCAUGUCCGUUUUCUUGCAAGGCUGUGGCUCCAGGUGGCUCAUGAAAGUGAUAUCUAGGCCAAAGUGCUUUUAAUGACUCCAUCUGUGGGCCUUCGUGAAUCUUUCAGGAGACCAGACAGGAAGAGAGUCAGCCUUCUUCCAGGUCAAAAGCCCCCGUUUGCCAAGGGCUGUGCCAGUCCCGCUGAAGAGGGAGGAACCCAGGCACAUGAUACAAUGUUUGCUUUGGAGGAAACUGUCCUCUCUGCCCCUCUUUGUUUCUCUCCCUGUCCUGCUCUGGAUAAGUGACAGGAAGUAAGUUAUUUCAACAGAUGGGUAAACCACAGUGCCAGUCCUUUGUCGCAUCUCUGAUUAGAGCGCUGAUGUCCGCUCCAGUGGCCCAGCCCCUGGCUGGUGCAACAGCUGGGCUUGUAGGCUCCCAGCUUUGGGGACCACAGGCCGCCCAGCAGCCCCUCCGAACUGAGGGGGAGCAGCAUGUGGCAGCACAAGCUGGGUAGCAGCCUCUCUGCCCUGCCCUGCUGGAGUUCGAGGUGUCUGAGCUACCCCUCCCUUAGCUGAAAAAAAGCCUCUUUGUGGCAGGGGUGGUUUAAGCAACCUAUGACAUCAAACAUCUGUAAUUCUUCUCCCAAGGUUUUAUCUCAAGAGAAUACAGUCAUUCAACACAGGCAAAGACAUUGUUCAUUCAAUAGAAAUUAAAAAAACUAUGGAUGAAUGGAUUAGUAAAUCACGGUGAUAAUCAUCUAUCUCAGAGAUCGAAGAGUACAAGUGACAGGCACAGAGACACAGCACUUCAUGAGGGAGCCGGAAGCCUGCGGGGCCUGCACACAGCAGCCCCCAUCAGCCUUGUUCAAUCCCGACUGAAGGAGAGGGAUGUGGAAACUGAAUAGCUGAGAACAAUGUGAACUAGCAUUCCAUACUUGCAACAGUGUAAAAUGUUUGGGGAUAAAAGCCUAAGGAAGUAAACCAAAGGGAAGAUAGUUACUCUUGUUGCCAGUGUUGCCCAACCUCAUCAUCUCCCCUCCCAAGGCUUUUUAGGCCUGUUUUUCCCAACUGCCCCUACCCCCUCCACAUAUUUUAACAAGAGAUAGACUCCAAGUUUGUGUAAUGUAUGUAUAUCUGUGCUUUGUACAUAAAAAUAGUAAGAUUUUCCUCACCCCAAGAACCAGCUUUGCCCCCUUUAGGGCAACGUCCUCACCCUCUGCCUUCCGCAGCCCCACCCCAGGAAAUCGCCUGUGCUGGGGGCUGUGAUUCCAGAGGGUUACAUCUUAGAGGCUGGCACUUUCCUUUUAUGUUGUCAUUUCAGUAAAAAUGAUCGAGCUCCUUCCCGGUGUGCGUCUUGACUUGUCUCGCGUGGCUCCUGGACUGCUCACCCUGAGAGGACAGGGCGCUGGGCUGAGAGAGGGGCGCUGGUCAUCCCUGGCCGCUGUGGCACAACGCGUGGCCCAGAGGUGGCAGGGCUCUGCCAGUUUGCGUCCCUCCUCAGCAAGAUGGCUUCUCUUAAA